rnacentral:ncRNA from 1 species
UAGCCCAUCGGGGCCACGGAUACCUGCUAUUUUUUU